UUUGAGGUUAAUUUUGUGUUCAGAUUCGACGGCGAGUGAAUCGUUUGGUGGUCGUAGGAUUACUGAAAGCAACCGUGGUUAUUCUUAAUAGUUGUGAGUGGUUUUCCAUCAUCGUGACAUAUUUUAUUUACUCUAUAACUACUGUUUUAAUUAUUUAAUAUAUUAAUUAUUCAUUGAAAUUGGGGAAACAUGUUUUUGUUAAUUUGAUUGGCUUUAAGUUGAUUUGUGUUUUAUUAAGUUGACUGUGAGCAAGUUUAAUGAUUUAAAUUGAGAAGAACAUUUAUAGUGAGUUGAGUUUGAAUUAUGUGAAAUUUAGACUUAUUUUGAAAAGCUUUGAUGGGCAUUGGAAAGCUGGUUUUGAGACUGUUGACAAGACUUGUACUGGUUUGAGAAAACGGUUUUGGUGAUCCUUGAUAGACCCCCGUAGCCGUUAACGGAGGUAACGGCCUAGGUGCACCUAGCUAGUUUGAUUCCGGGAGGAGAGGGCUAUAUGUUAGAUGGAGCCACCAAUGCACGGAGAGGGCUAUCAACGAGAUGUAGCUUCCCCGGAUUAUAUGAUACGAUGUGACAUGUGAUAUGAGAGAGGAAAGGGCUAUCCGUUAGAUGGAGCCGCCCUUAUCGGAGAAUUCAUCCCUUAGGAGGAGAGGGCUAUCAACGAGAUGGAGCCGCCUUACGGUUCUACAUGUGUGACCCUAUUAAAUUGUAUUUCUGAUUUUGAAAUGCUUUCAUAUGAUUGACAUGAUUUUUAUUCAGUUUCAUUGAAACAGUUAUUUAUAAACUUGGCAGUUUGAUCAUCUCUUAUUUGAAAUGGUUCUUAUUAAUUUUAUUAAUAUUAUACGUAUUAUCCACUCUGAUCUGAUAGUGAAAAACUCAUCCUUCAUAUGUUUCCCCUUUCCUGUUCAUGGUGGUUGUUAAAUCCUCACUAAGUCUUUGUGACUUACCCCAUUCAUUAUUUUCCCUCCACAGAUUCACAGACAACUAAGUAGUAAGCCGGUAUCAGAUUCAGAUCAUUCAAUUUAUCUUGUUGGUAGGCCUCCUUUGGUUGGUGGCUCAAUUGGUGCCUUGUAUUUGAUUCUAGUUAUCU
rnacentral:lncRNA from 1 species